rnacentral:tRNA from 1 species
AGGAGCUUAGGAUAAAUUGAGACCGAGGGCCUUCAAAGCCCUAAGAGAAAGUGAGAAUCUUUCAGCUCCUG